rnacentral:rRNA from 1 species
CACGUAGGGCGCAAGCGUUGUCCGGAAUUAUUGGGCGUAAAGAGCUCGUAGGUGGUUUGUUACGUCUGCUGUGAAAACCUAGGGCUUAACCCUGGGCUUGCAGUGGAUACGGGCAGACUAGAGGUAGGUAGGGGAGAAUGGAAUUCCUGGUGUAGCGGUGAAAUGCGCAGAUAUCAGGAGGAACACCGGUGGCGAAGGCGGUUCUCUGGGCCUUACCUGACACUGAGGCACGAAAGCGUGGGGAUCAAACAGG